rnacentral:rRNA from 1 species
UAGGGAAUAUUGGUAACGGGCGAAAGCCUGAACCAGCAACGCCGCGUGUGCGAAGAGGGCCUUCGGGUUGUAAAGCACUUUUUAAGGGGAUGAGGAAGGACAGUACCCUUAGAAUAAGCCUCGGCUAACUACGUGCCAGCAGCCGCGGUAACACGUAGGAGGCAAGCGUUAUUCGGAUUUACUGGGCGUAAAGCGCGUGCAGGCGGUUUGGUAAGUUGGAUGUGAAAGCUCCCGGCCUAACUGGGAGAGGUCGUUCAAUACUACCAGACUAGAGGAUGGGAGAGGGAGGUGGAAUUCCGGGUGUAGUGGUGAAAUGCGUAGAUAUCCGGAGGAACACCAGUGGCGAAAGCGGCCUCCUGGCCCAUUUCUGAUGCUCAGACGCGAAAGCUAGGGUAGCAACCGG